rnacentral:miRNA from 1 species
UGAACUUUCCCAGGAAUAAG